rnacentral:rRNA from 1 species
UACGUAGGGUGCAAGCGUUGUCCGGAAUUAUUGGGCGUAAAGAGCUCGUAGGCGGUUUGUUGCGUCGGCUGUGAAAUCCCGAGGCUCAACCUCGGGUCUGCAGUCGAUACGAGCAAACUAGAGUGUUGGCAGGGGAGACUGGAAUUCCUGGUGAUAGCGGUGAAAUGCGCAGAUAUCAGGGAGGGAACACCCGGUGGCGAAGGCGGGUCUCUGGGCAACAACUGACGUGGAGGAGCGAAAGCGUGGGGAGCGAACAGGA